rnacentral:rRNA from 1 species
GGUACCAGAGGAAUCAGCAUCGGCUAACUCCGUGCCAGCAGCCGCGGUAAGACGGAGGAUGCAAGCGUUAUCCGGAAUGAUUGGGCGUAAAGCGUCCGCAGGUGGCAGUUCAAGUCUGCUGUCAAAGACCGGGGCUUAACUUCGGAAAGGCAGUGGAAACUGAACAGCUAGAGUAUGGUAGGGGCAGAGGGAAUUCCUGGUGUAGCGGUGAAAUGCGUAGAGAUCAGGAAGAACAUCGGUGGCGAAGGCGCUCUGCUGGACCAUAACUGACACUCAGGGACGAAAGCUAGGGGAGCGAACGGGAUUAGAUACCCCAGUAGUCCUAGCCGUAAACGAUGGAUACUAGGUGUUGUCUGUAUCGACCCGGACAGUGCCGUAGCUAACGCGUUAAGUAUCCCGCUGGGGAUACGCACGCAAGUGUGAAACUCAAAGGAUUGACGGCGGCACACGAGUGGAGUAUGUGUUAGUUACGUAGUGCGAACGACGACGAACGUUAACCUACGGACGUCGUCGAACUGUCGUCGAACUACUACGUAGGUAACGAAACCG